rnacentral:rRNA from 1 species
UACGUAGGGUGCAGGCGUUAAUCGGAAUUACUGGGCGUAAAGCGUGCGCAGGCGGCUUCCUAAGUCAGAUGUGAAAUCCCCGGGCUUAACCUGGGAACUGCGUUUGAAACUGGGAGGCUAGAGUGCGGCAGAGGGGGGUGGAAUUCCAUGUGUAGCAGUGAAAUGCGUAGAUAUGUGGAGGAACACCGAUGGCGAAGGCAGCCCCCUGGGCCAGCACUGACGCUCAUGCACGAAAGCGUGGGGAGCAAACGGG